AAUAAGAAAUGAUUUUUAGGUUCAUAUAAGGUUAAGUGUAUAUGAUUAAAAGGGAAAGUGGUUAAAAUCCACUACAGCCCCCGCUACUGUGAUGGAAGACUAAUCUCUAAAGUAUAUAUAAAAGUGCUCAUUAAUUAAAAAGUAGCUGCUUUUAAAUAGUAUACUGAAAAAUCCACUGAGAAAUUUUCUUGGGAAGGAAGAGAAUUAGGAUGAGGCCAAAGUCAGGAGACCUGCCUAGGAGUUUAUAAAAAUG
rnacentral:ncRNA from 1 species